rnacentral:rRNA from 1 species
UACGUAGGGUGCGAGCGUUAAUCAGAAUUACUGGGCGUAAAGCGUGCGCAGGCGGUUCGUUGUGUCGGCGGUGAAAGCCCCGGGCUCAACCUGGGAAUGGCCGUUGAAACUGGCGAACUGGAGUGUGGCAGAGGGGGGUGGAAUUCCGCGUGUAGCAGUGAAAUGCGUAGAGAUGCGGAGGAACACCGAUGGCGAAGGCAGCCCCCUGGGCUGACACUGACGCUCAGGCACGAAAGCGUGGGGAGCAAACAGG